rnacentral:rRNA from 1 species
AGCAGCAGCCACGGGAAUACGAAGGGGGCUAGCGUUGCUCGGAAUGACUGGGCGUAAAGGGCGCGUAGGCGGCGAUCAAAGUCAGGCGUGAAAUUCCUGGGCUCAACCUGGGGGCUGCGCUUGAUACUUGGUUGCUUGAGUGGGGAAGAGGGUCGUGGAAUUCCCAGUGUAGAGGUGAAAUUCGUAGAUAUUGGGAAGAACACCGGUGGCGAAGGCGGCUCACUGGACGACUGUUGACGCUGAGGUACGAAAGCGUGGGGAGCAAACAGGAUUAGAUACCCCUGUAGUCCCUGUCUCUUAUAC